rnacentral:snRNA from 1 species
AUACUUACCUAGCAGGGGGAGACAUGGUGACCACCAAGGCAGUCCUCGCAGGGCGAGGCUCACCCAUUGCACUCCUGGUGUGCAGAUCCUAUGAUUUCCCCAAAUGCAAGAAACUUGAAUGCGUAAUUUAUCGUAGAGGGGGACUGCAUUCGCGCCCCCCA